rnacentral:tRNA from 1 species
GGCGGCAGCGGCGCGCCGGUCAUGAUGCGGGCGGCCUCGCCGGGGCCGACGGCGGGGAGUUCGGCGCUGCCCGCCGCCAC